rnacentral:rRNA from 1 species
UACGAUGGGGGCUAUAGUUGUUCGGAAUCACUGGGCGUAAAGGGCGCGUAGGCGGCUAUGCAAGUCCGGCGUGAAAGCCCCGGGCUCAACCCGGGAAUUGCGCUUGAUACUGUGUGGCUUGAGUCCGGGAGAGGAUGGCGGAAUUCCCAGUGUAGAGGUGAAAUUCGUAGAUAUUGGGAAGAACACCGGUGGCGAAGGCGGCCAUCUGGACCGGUACUGACGCUGAGGCGCGAAAGCGUGGGGAGAAAACAGG